rnacentral:rRNA from 1 species
CCUACGUGAGGCUGCAGUGGGGAAUAUUGCACAAUGGGGGAAACCCUGAUGCAGCGACGCCGCGUGAGUGAAGAAGUAAUUCGUUAUGUAAAGCUCUAUCAGCAGGGAAGAAAAUGACGGUACCUGAGUAAGAAGCCCCGGCUAACUACGUGCCAGCAGCCGCGGUAAUACGUAGGGGGCAAGCGUUAUCCGGAUUUACUGGGUGUAAAGGGAGCGUAGACGGCAGUGCAAGUCUGGAGUGAAAGGCGGGGGCUCAACCCCCGGACUGCUCUGGAAACUGUACGGCUGGAGUGCAGGAGAGGUAAGUGGAAGUCCUAGUGUAGCGGUGAAAUGCGUAGAUAUUAGGAGGAACACCAGUGGCGAAGGCGGCUUACUGGACUGUAACUGACGUUGAGGCUCGAAAGCGUGGGGAGCAAACAGGAUUAGAUACCCUAGUAGUC